GACGAACGCUGGCGGCGUGCUUAACACAUGCAAGUCGAACGGUGAAGCGCCUUCCUUUUUGGUGGGUGUGGAUGAGUGGCGAACGGGUGAGUAACACGUGAGUAACCUGCCCCCUUCUUCUGGAUAACCGCAUGAAAGUGUGGCUAAUACGGGAUAUUCUGGGUCUGUCGCAUGAUGGGUCUGGGAAAGAUAUUGUUUCGGUGGGGGAUGGGCUCGCGGCCUAUCAGCUUGUUGGUGGGGUGAUGGCCUACCAAGGCGGUGACGGGUAGCCGGCCUGAGAGGGUGGCCGGCCAGACUGGGACUGAGACAAGGCCGAGACUCCGACGGGAGGCAGAAGUGGGGAAUAUUGAGCAAUGGGCGCAAGCCUGAUGCAGCGACGCCGCGUGAGGGAUGGAGGCCUUCGGGUUGUGAACCUCUUUCGCCAGUGAAGCAGGCCUGCCUCGUAUGUGGGUGGGUUGACGGUAGCUGGAUAAGAAGCGCCGGCUAACUACGUG
rnacentral:rRNA from 1 species